rnacentral:tRNA from 1 species
UGGCUCAGUGGAUAGAGCAUUGAUCUGUGGACUGAAGGGUCCCAGGUUCGAUUCCUGG